GACGAACCGUGCGAACGUUGUUCGGAAUCACUGGGCUUAAAGGGCGCGUAGGCGGGCGACCAAGUCAGGGGUGAAAUCCCACGGCUCAACCGUGGAAGUGCCUUUGAUACUGGUGGUCUCGAGGGAGGUAGGGGCGUGCGGAACUUCCGGUGGAGCGGUGAAAUGCGUAGAUAUCGGGAAGAACACCCGUGGCGAAGGCGGCUCUCUGGGACGGUACUGACGCUGAGACGCGAAAGCGUGGGGAGCGAACAGG
rnacentral:rRNA from 1 species